AUGUUUUCGCCGGAUCGUAUACUGAAUGUAUCCUGAGUGCUUUAUAAUAUCUCAGGUAUACCUUCAAUAUACGUUACAGGCGAGGACAG
rnacentral:pre_miRNA from 11 species